GACGAACGCUGGCGGCGUGCUUAACACAUGCAAGUCGAACGGAAAGGCCCUGCUUUUGUGGGGUGCUCGAGUGGCGAACGGGUGAGUAACACGUGAGUAACCUGCCCUUGACUUUGGGAUAACUUCAGGAAACUGGGGCUAAUACCGGAUAGGAGCUCCUGCUGCAUGGUGGGGGUUGGAAAGUUUCGGCGGUUGGGGAUGGACUCGCGGCUUAUCAGCUUGUUGGUGGGGUAGUGGCUUACCAAGGCUUGACGGGUGGCCGGCCUGAGAGGGUGACCGGCCACAUUGGGACUGAGAUACGGCCCAGACUCCUACGGGAGGCAGCAGUGGGGAAUAUUGCACAAUGGGCGGAAGCCUGAUGCAGCAACGCCGCGUGCGGGAUGACGGCCUUCGGGUUGUAAACCGCUUUCGCCUGUGACGAAGCGUGAGUGACGGUAAUGGGUAAAGAAGCACCGGCUAACUACGUG
rnacentral:rRNA from 1 species